UACAGGGGGUGCAAACGUUGCUCGGAAUCAUUGGGCGUAAAGCGCACGUAGGCGGUCUGUUAUGUCGGAUGUGAAAGCCCUUGGCUCAACUGAGGAAGUGCAUCCGAAACUGGCAGGCUAGAGUACUAAGGAGGAUCGCGGAAUUCCCGGUGUAGAGGUGAAAUUCGUAGAUAUCAGGAGGAACACCAAUGGCGAAGGCAGCUCGCUGGGACGUGACUGACGCUGAGACGCGAAAGCGUGGGGAGCAAACAGG
rnacentral:rRNA from 1 species